AAAAUGAAAUUUGUGGCCAAGACUAAAGUUUUCUCUCAAUAUCCUUUUUCUCAGUCUUUGAUGAUCAGCCCCCUGAUUUUUAAAUGGACAACCCCUCAUCCUGAACAAAGACUACAUUUCUCAGCCCCCUUGCAGUGGGAUGUGAGUGGAAAUGACAUGUAACUACCAGAAUGUGUCUUUAAAGGGAAGAGCCAUUGUCCCUACUUCUUCCCUGCCGGCUGGAAUUUAGAUGUGAUGGGUAGAGGUCCAGUAGCCAUCCUGGACAAUAAGGUGACCUUGAGAUUUGAAGACAUGCAUGAUGGAGCGACAAUAUAGAAGCUGAACACAAUCCUAACUGCUACCAAAGAUAUCUUUUCAGGUGACUUGGAGCUAAAAAAAAAAAAAAAAAAAAAAAACCCACAAAAACUAGCUGUACAUAGUUCAUUGGGUAACAGUGAAAGGUUGGAAGCAAUGGACUAAAUCUGACAGCAUGGAGUUUAAGGACAAACGCCGCCAUCUCCAGAGCCCUUCCCAUCCAGGAUUCCCUGAUUGGGGUGGAAUGCAUCCGUUGCCUAGAGCACCCUGACGUUCUGGCGAGAAGAAAGGGGAGAGACUAAAUACCCCGUUUUACUUCUUGUUAAAUUCCUAGGAAGAGGGAGGACGUUAAAGCACUUGAUUAAAUAAAAGUCCUAGUCAUCUGUGACUUUCAUUGCUUACGAAACAUUGGCCUCCUAUUGAGAAUCAAAAAUUAAAAUGAUCAUAUUUUUUAUUUUUGCUGGAGACAUGUGCAGGGUGAGGUCUGAGGGGGUGUUAGAAACACUCUUUCCUUUCCCUGGGAAAAGCAUAUCUCUUUUCAUACAUCUCUUUCUUUUCUUCCAAAGUAAGCAUGCCUGCAGAGUGCCGGAAGGCUGUGCUGGUUAUAGUCGGGGUAGUGCUUGUUUGGCGAGGGUGGCCUAGAUCCAGCAGCUGGUGUGUUGAUCCUGCUGAGCACAGAACUGCAAGAGCCCAUUCAGAAAGACACAGACACAUGCCUGAUUUUGGCAAAUAAAAAGGGGCCAGCCACUGUUGAAUAGACUGACAAAUAUCUCAAGUUCCAAAGGUUUAACCACAUCAUAUCUUUUAAAAAAGCAGAUGUUUAAGCCUUUUAGAAAUAAUUUGACUUGAACUUAUUUUUCAUCCCAAAACAAUACCUGGCAAUGGUUCCUCUGGCUUUCAGAGAGGUGGUCUGGGAAAUAAAAGGCACUAGUAUUUUGUGAAUCAGGGGUGUGAGGAUGGUGUACAUUGCUCCGCUUACUGAACACUUACGUAAGAGUGAAGGCCGCUUGAACUGUGGGCUUUAUGUGAUUUCUCUCUUUCAGUCUUUAUAAGAAUCAGGAGACAUGGGAUUGUUGCUCCCAUUUAGAGAGGAGAACGCAAUGACUCGGAGAACUCAGGAAACUAUUAGAGGGCAGAGGGCCUCUAGCAAGUUACUUGGGGAAGCGUUUGACCCACAGUCAUUAACACAGCUCUGGAGUCCAGUGCUUCACGUAAUAGCCCAUGUUCAGAGACGAGAGCAACAACACCCAUAACUGAGUCUUGCAUUAGGUUCACAAUACUCCAGGAAUCUCUUUAUUUCCUCGGCACACAGGCGCUCUGUCACUGUUUUCUGUUGGGGUCCAGCCCCAGCAGGUCCAGGGGUUCCCAAAGGUGUGGACUGAGUCGGCAAAGAAGGAAUGGCACGGAGGCAGC